CCCUUAGAUGUUCUGGGCCGCACGCGCGCUACACUGAUGUAUUCAACGAGUCUAAAACCUGCUCUGAUAGGGGUGGGUAAUCUUUUGAAUGUGCAUCGUGAUUGGGAUAGAUGAUUGCAAUUUUUCAUCUUCAACGAGGAAUGCCUAGUAAACGCAAGUCAUCAGCUUGCAUUGAUUACGUCCCUGCCCUUUGUACACACCGCCCGUCGCUCCUACCGAUUGAAUGAUCCGAUGAAUAUCAUGGAUUGAGGAUUAUAGCAGGUUCGCCUGUCUUGAUCUUCGAGAAGUGAAGUAAAUCUUAUCAUUUAGAGGAAGGAGAAGUCGUAACA
rnacentral:rRNA from 1 species